rnacentral:lncRNA from 1 species
CUCUACUCUAAUAUGACUGAUGUAAUUAUAAAAAGGAAACAUUUGGACACAGACACAGACAUACACAGUAGAAAGAUUAUGUGAAGACGCCUCUGGGUAGAAGAAGACCACACGAAGAUGGAAGCAGAGAUUCAAGUUAUGUUACCACAAGCCAAGGAAUGCCUGAGACCACUGGAAGCUAGGAAGAGACAAGAAGAGAUAUUUCCCUUGAUGCCUGAGAGGGAGCAUGGCCCUGCUGACACCUGAAUCUGGGACUUCCAGCCACCAGAACAGUGGGACAAUAAAUCUCUGUGGUUGUAAGCCAUCCAGUUUGUGGUACUUCAUUACAGAAGCCCUAGGAAACUAACGGAGAGCCCUUGCUGGUAUCUGCAGCUGUGACUGCUGGAAAAUGUCAGAGGGAGCCAGAACUAAACUAAGGUCUCUGCUUCAGUAAACUUAUCCAACUCAAGCCUCCAACUGCCAUUUAUAUCAUAUGACUUCCAAAGGUAUUUAUCUUUACUCAUGACCUCUCCCUGAGCUCCAGAAUCAAGUCUCCAACUGAUUCGUGAAUAGCACCUCUUGAAUAUCUAAUGGCAUCCCAAAAUUAGCAUGACCAAAUCAAGACUUUGAAUUCAAUACCCAGCCAAACUUCCCCUACUCUACUCUAUAGAAGAAAAUGACAUCACCAUCUACUAAGUUAUUCAACACCCAGGAGACUUCUUCCUUCUCCUCUACUACCAUAUGCAAUCUAUCUGUGUGUCCUGUGAGUUCUACCUCCAAAAUAUGUGCUAGGUCAGUUCCCUGAGAUACUCACUCUGAGAGGGAGAUUUAUAAUAAAAGAAUUUAGCAAAAAAUGCCACUGGGGGGCCAGCCCCAUGGCCUAGUGGUUAAGUUCAGUGCACUCUGCUUUGGUGGCCAGGGUUCAGUACCCAGGCAUGGACCUGCACCAGUUGGUAGCAGCCAUGAUGUGGUGGUGUCCCAUAUACAAAAUAGAGGAAGAUUGGCACAGAUAUUAUCUCAGGUCUCCUUAGGAAUUUUCAGCCAAUCCAAACUCUGGGACAGUUGUGAAGGAAGUUGUCAUGGUGGGCUUGCUGCAGCUGGACCCCAUUGUGUCUGCUCCAGAACUUCACAGGAUCUUCAUCUGAGCCUAGAAGGCUUGGUGUAAAGCUCUGGCAGCCUCAGCUUAGCUUCACCACUGAUGGCCACCAUAUCGAGGCAAAGAACUAUUUUUUCACAUCUUUCUCAAAUCUUGUUGGGUGGCUCAUAGAAUGAAGUAGAACGGACCACAGAGAAAGGUACUAGGAUUCAUUUCUUCGUGCCAGAAGUAAUUGAAUUACAGAGGUAUAUUCUCGCUGACUUAAAAGUUGCUGUUUGGUAUGUUAAACUAUCACCUACACUUAUUGUUUUGCUUUUAAUAUUCUUCCUUAUACGUCCCUUCGUUACCAUUUCCAAGCCUAAGAACUGUGGGUUAUCUAUAGUCGUUCAUUAAUGUGUUAGUUACCCUCAGUUAGUAAAUACUUGAAGAAACGGGAAUUCUUGAAGCUUUGGUAGUUGCUCAAGAAAAAGCCAUCAAAUAAUAGGGGAUAGAAAAGCCUCAAGUAAAACUAG